UACGUAGGGUGCAAGCGUUGUCCGGAAUUAUUGGGCGUAAAGAGCUCGUAGGCGGCUUGUUGCGUCUGCUGUGAAAUCCCGGGGCUUAACCCCGGGUCGGCAGUGGAUACGGGCAGGCUAGAGGUAGGUAGGGGAGAAUGGAAUUCCCGGUGUAGCGGUGAAAUGCGCAGAUAUCGGAAGGAACACCGGUGGCGAAAGCGGCGCGCUGGAUCCCUACUGACGCUGAGGCACGAAAGCCAGGGGAGCAAACGGG
rnacentral:rRNA from 1 species